rnacentral:rRNA from 1 species
AACGAACGCUGGCGGCAUGCCUAAUACAUGCAAGUCGAACGAUGCCUUCGGGUCUUGGCGCGCACGUGAGCGUCACGCGUGGGAAGCGUCCCUUGGGGUCGGACUAACUCCCAGAAGGGGGUGAUAAUAGGGAACAAUGGCUACGGCCCAAAGAUUUAUCGCCUCUGGAUGGGUCCGCGUUGAAUUAGCUAGUUGGUAGGGUAAAAGCCCACCCAGGCGAUGAUACAUAGCUGGUCUGAGAGGAUGAUCAGCCACACUGGGACUGUGACACGGCCCAGACUCCUACGGGAGGCAGAAGUGGGGAAUAUUGGACACUGGGCGAAAGCCUGAUCCAGCAAUGCCGCGUGAGUGAUGAAGGCCUUAGGGUUGUAAAGCUCUGUUACCCGGGAUGAUAAUGACAGUACCGGGAGAAUAAGCUCCGGCUAACUCCGUG